rnacentral:rRNA from 1 species
GAUGAACGCUGGCGGCGUGCCUAAUACAUGCAAGUCGAGCGAACAGAUGAGGAGCUUGCUCCUCUGACGUUAGCGGCGGACGGGUGACUAACACGUGGAUAACCUACCUAUAAGACUGGGAUAACUUCGAGAAACCGGAGCUAAUAACGGUUAGUUAAUUGAACCGCAUGGUACAAUAAUGAAAGUCGGUUUUGCUGUCACUUAUAGAUUGAUCUGCGCCGCAUUAGCUAGUAAGUAAGGAAAAGGCUUACCAAGGGGAGGAAGCGUAGCCGACCUGCGAGGAUGAUCGGCCACCCUGGAAGUGAGACACGCUCCAGACUCCUACGGGAGGGAGCAGUAGGGAUUCUUCCGCAAUGGGCGAAGGCCUGACGGAGCAACGCCAAGUGAGUGAUGCAGGUCUUCUGAUCGUAAAACUAUGUUAUUCGGGAAGAAAAAAUGUGUAAGUUACUAUGAACGUCUUGACGGUACCAAAUCAGAAAGCCACGGCUAACUACGUG